AUUGAACGCUAGCGGGAUGCUUUACACAUGCAAGUCGAACGAGUGGCGGACGGGUGAGUAAUAUAUCGGAACGUGCCCAGUAGCGGGGGAUAACUACUCGAAAGAGUGGCUAAUACCGCAUAUAAUGGAAGCGCCCAAUAUCGGAUUAGCGAGUGGGGGGGGUAAGGGCCCACCAAGGCAACGACCCUGAGCUGGUUUGAGAGGACGACCAGCCACACUGGGACGGGGACACGGCCCAGACUCCUACGGGAGGCAGCAGUGGGGAAUUUUGGACAAUGGGGGAAACCCUGAUCCAGCCAUCCCGCGUGUAUGAGAAGGCCUUCGGGUUGUAAAGUACUUUUGGCAGAGAAGCGGUAUCUGCAGAAUAAGCACCGGCUAACUACGUGCCAGCCGCCGCGGUAAUUC
rnacentral:rRNA from 1 species